UCUUCACCUAGCCGGCCCCUGGCGCCGCCCUACCACGCUGCCACCCUGCCCCCCUACUCCUCACUGCGCCAUCGCCCAUCCCGCCGGCCACGCGCGCCGCCCCACCCCGCCGGCAACGCGCGCUGCCACACCCCGCCGGCCCCGCACCUUGCCCCACCCCGCUGGCCCAUGUGCCGCCAAACCCCAUCGCCUACGGCCCAGCCCUUCGAUCCCCUACCCCUGGGAAACGUCGGCUUCUCCCGCUACAUCUCACUCCCCCACCAGCUGCAGGUGGCGGGGGCUCGUUCCGCCGCGCUCACAGUCCAACCCUGGUGCCUUAGGCCGUUCGCCGCUGCUGUGCUCACGCUGGUUGUGCCGCGCCUCCAGCUCCCAUGUGUGUCCUGAGUGCACAGCAUGUAUUUGCUAAAAUGUCUCAGUGCAGUGGACUACUAGUUUUGUUGUGUUCAUGUGCAUUUGUAGCUGCCUUCUUGCUUGCUAAUUGCUAUAGCUUACAAUACUUAUAGCAUUUUUCGUGUGUGAUUUGUACUUUAGGUGCUAACCAAAGAAUAGGUAAGGUCAUUCAGAUUGAGGAUCUUAACUAAUCAUGUUAAUGGUUGGUCUUGCUCCCUGUGCAUUUUCACUCACCGAGAGCGACUACUCCAGAAGAAAAAAAGCCAUGGGAACGUGCCGCCCUCAGUCCUUUCUCUCGACAAAUCCAUCAGUGCAGGAAGGCACACCCCACACCAUUGUUCUCGUGCAACCAUCUCCAAACAAAACGUCCAAAAAUUUUAUGGACUUCAGUUCACUCAACCAAGCCCUGGAUGGUUAGUGUUCUCUCUUGCAUGCUGCUUGAAAUAUUAAUGCAAUUUUACUUUGCUAUCCGAUUGUGCAUGUGUUGUCGAAAAUGAGGUUAUCAUGGGAUUCUGAACAUAUGAUAGUACUGUUUUCCCUAUGUAUUAUAGUUCAUUAGUUCAUCUAUUCCUUGCUUCAGUUCUAUAGACAUAGUCAUCAGCCAUCAUCAUCUAGUACCACUUGUACUGAACAUUCAGGAAUUCAAUUUAUAAUGUUGUUUACUGUCCUAAUUUUUUGGUACCAGUAACCUUCCUAUAUACAUAUGCAGCAGCAGUUCAGCCGUUGUUAUGGCAAUAAGUAGUUUAGUAACUAGAAAAACAACAAAACGUUGGUUCAUUUUUUUCCUCAGAAGCUUUUCCGGUUCACCUUGUAUAUGGUUUUUCAGUUCACCUUGUAUAUGCCUUUUCAGUUCAUCGUACAUGGUUCAAAAGGAGAUCCCUUAGUUUCAGUAGAUGUGGAGAUGGGUAAAAUCUAAAGUUCAACUUAUGGGGUACUUCAUAAAGCAAAGAAAAAAAAGAAAAGUAGAGCAAAAGUGAAGAAAAAGAAAAAGAAAACAAAAGUGGUUUUGAGAAGAAAAUGCCUACUGUCCAGUGAUACAUUAUCUCGUCAGUCUAUGGUUAUUUGUUCAUGAGAACGGAAAAAACAGUGGUACAAUACAUAUUACGUGAGCUGUUCACAUAUUAUGGUUAUUUGUUCAUUAGCCGCGUGCAGGAAGUUCAGCGGCACAAUCCCCGGUCGUUCAGUCUCGCUGUUGUGGGCGUGCCCCGCUCCAACUCCAUCACCUCUGCUUCACUGGUGAAACAAUGCGACCUGAGGAACCACGGGGGUCGAGGACGUCCAGCUCCGCAGUCCAACUCGGCGUGAUUCACGUCAUUGAUAGCCCCCAUGUAGCAGCCUAGUAUGUAUUUUAUCAUCAGUUCAUAAAAGGAAAGCUGAGUCAGUGCAGUGUGCGUGUUAAAAAAAUAAUUUAGUUUUAUAUUUUAUGGUAGUUCAUUGUAUAGAAAAUUUGUAAUAGUUCCUGCUUUUCAAUCCAUCUACUUCUUGGUCACAAGUCCAAUUAGUAGAAAUUCAAACAUGAAAAUAACAUCCAUCUUGUUCUGGUAAUCAUCUUCAACAAAUUUCGUAUGUAUCAGACUUGCAUAUGUUUAUUAGUAGGGCAGAUCUCUGUUGUAUAAGACGCUAGAUGUUGAUUUUCAAUUAUGCUGUGACAAAAUUUUCAGUCAUCUUGAGUCUGUUCCCUAUAUCACUUCAGAUCCUUUUUCUUGUUGGUCCAGUGCAUGUCCCGCAAUGAGCCAGGACAGGGAAGUUGUUGCACACUGCCGUCUUCGUCGGCCGUCACGCUAUGAGUGGCUAUGGCCAUUGGUCACUGUUGGUCGUCGGCCGUUCUUCUUUGCCACCUCCUGAAGGUCAGCUUCUGGUACACGGGAAUGAAAAACCAGACGAAGCAAAAUUGAGUUAUCAUGGGGAUGGAACACCCACAGCCGUGAAAAAAGGAGCUCCCUUUUAGUUCAAAUGGAUCCAAAAAAUGGUUGCUGCAUUACAUUUCAAGACCAUUCUGUUGGUUUAGGCUACAUCUUGCUAGUUUGGCAAACAUUUUUUGCAUCUACUUGUGGAUGGCUUCCAUUUUGUGCUCCAUGGAUCAUGAUCUUGAGAGGCUCGCUGUCGAGACUGUAGUUGUUCUUUGUAUUACUUCAUGGGUGAUAGGGAGAUGCACAAGUCAUUGCCGUCCACAUCGUCGCCACAAGGAAACACCAGCAUCACUGCCAGCUACACGCACAUCUUUGGCACAACCAGUUUCUAAAGUUGUCGCUGCGUCGACGCGUCCCACUCCAACGGCAUGGCUUAUGCUUCAGUGCAAAACAGUGGAGCCUGCUGGAGGAGUCACGAGGUCGAGGACCUCCUGCUCAACAGUACAACUUCUUGUUUUGUGGCCGGUCGCUCAAGGAGCUGAGUGCAGGCCGCAGUAAGUACAUGAGUACUAGUAUUAGGAUAUGUGCGGUCCUAGUAAGUACAUGAGUACUAAUUAGCAAGUUUGAUUGCUUUCUGAAAAGUGAAAAUGUCAGCUUGUACUGAUGCAUUCCAAAAAUGUGUUGUGUGUUUUCAAGAAAAAAACAUUUGUCGGGUUUUUGGUGGCCAAGUAUUAUUGAUAUGGAGGUGAAUAACUAUGCGGAUGCGCUCCUAUUGUUUUUCUGGAACAAAACAAGAUGCCAUGUUUUACUUUA